rnacentral:rRNA from 1 species
CCUACGGGAGGCUGCAGUGGGGAAUAUUGGACAAUGGGGGGAACCCUGAUCCAGCCAUGCCGCGUGUGUGAAGAAGGCCCUCGGGUUGUAAAGCACUUUCUGUGAGGAAGAACGCCUGGUGGUUAAUACCCAUCAGGAAAGACAUCACUCACAGAAGAAGCACCGGCUAACUCCGUGCCAGCAGCCGCGGUAAUACGGAGGGUGCGAGCGUUAAUCGGAAUUACUGGGCGUAAAGCGCGCGUAGGUGGCUUGAUAAGCCGGUUGUGAAAGCCCCGGGCUCAACCUGGGAACGGCAUCCGGAACUGUCAAGCUAGAGUGCAGGAGAGGAAGGUAGAAUUCCCGGUGUAGCGGUGAAAUGCGUAGAGAUCGGGAGGAAUACCAGUGGCGAAGGCGGCCUUCUGGACUGACACUGACACUGAGGUGCGAAAGCGUGGGUAGCAAACAGGAUUAGAUACCCGUGUAGUC